GACGAACGCUGGCGGCGUGGAUUAGGCAUGCAAGUCGAACGGUAGGAUACCUUCGGGUAUCUGAGAGUGGCGAACGGGUGAGUAACACGUAGGUGAUCUACCCUCAAGAUUGGGACAACCCAGGGAAACUUGGGCUAAUACCGGAUGAAAGCAGCAGUGAUGUUGUUUGAAAGGUGGCGUAAGCUGCCGUUUGGGGAUGAGCCUGCGCUCUAUUAGUUAGUUGGCGGGGUAAAGGCCCACCAAGGCGAUGAUAGAUAGGCGGCCUUAACGGGUGGUCGCCCACACUGGGAUUGAGAUACGGCCCAGACUCCUACGGGAGGCAGCAGUCGAGAAUAGUCUACAAUGGCCGAAAGGCUGAUAGUGCGACGCCGCGUGAACGAAGAAGCCCUUCGGGGUGUAAAGUUCUUUUAUAUGUGAGCAGUGCUUUCUAUGUGAACAGCAUGGGGAGAGAGAUAUUAGCAUAUGAAUAAGCAACGGCUAACUCGUGCCAGC
rnacentral:rRNA from 1 species